CGGCAACAGCUCAAAUUUGAAAUCUGGCCCCCUCGGGGCCCGAGUUGUAAUUUGCAGAGGGUGCUUCGGCGUUGGCGCCGGCCUAAGUUCCUUGGAACAGGACGUCAUAGAGGGUGAGAACCCCGUACGUGGCAGGCCGCCUCCGCCGUGUGAAGCCCCUUCGAC
rnacentral:rRNA from 1 species